rnacentral:rRNA from 1 species
GAACGAACGCUGGCGGCGCGUCUUAAACAUGCAAGUCGAACGAUCUGUAGCAAUACAGGGAGUGGCGGACGGGUGAGGAACACGUAGGAAUCUACCUUGAAGAGCGGGACAACUUUGGGAAACCGGGGCUAAUACCGCAUAGUACAGAGAUGUUAAAGGGCUAGCAAUAGUCGCUUCGAGAUGAGCCUGCGGUCUAUCAGCUUGUUGGUGAGGUAAUGGCUCACCAAGGCUACGACGGAUAGCCGGUCUGAGAGGAUGAUCGGCCACACUGGCACUGAGACACGGGCCAGACUCCUACGGGAGGCAGCAGUUAAGAAUCUUGCGCAAUGGGGGAAACCCUGACGCAGCGACGCCGCGUGAAGGAUGAAGGCUUCGGGUUGUAAACUUCGGUAGACUGGGAAGAAGAAAUACGUUCGUUGAGGGCGUAUAGUGACGGUACCAGUCUGAAGCCCCGGCUAAUUACGUG